rnacentral:tRNA from 1 species
AUUUUAUUAGUAUAAUAGUAUGUCUAACUUCCAAUUAGAAGGUUUGUUUUUUCAAAUAAAAUA